GACGAACGCUGGCGGUGUGCUUAACACAUGCAAGUCGAACGGUAAGGCCCUUUCGGGGGUACACGAGUGGCGAACGGGUGAGUAACACGUGAGUAACCUGCCCUCAUCUCUGGGAUAACAGUCGGAAACGGUUGCUAAUACUGGAUAUGAGCUUGCAAGGCAUCUUGUGGGUUGGAAAGAUUUUUUUGGUUGGGGAUGGACUCGCGGCCUAUCAGCUUGUUGGUGAGGUAGUGGCUCACCAAGGCUUCGACGGGUAGCCGGCCUGAGAGGGCGACCGGCCACAUUGGGACUGAGAUACGGCCCAAACUCCUACGGGAGGCAGCAGGGGGGAAUAUUGCACAAUGGACGGAAGUCUGAUGCAGCAACGCCGCGGGCGGGAGGACGGCCUUCGGGUUGGAAACCGCUUUCAAUUGUGACGAAGCUUUUUGUGACGGUAGCAGUAGAAGAAGCACCGGCUAACUACGUG
rnacentral:rRNA from 1 species